rnacentral:rRNA from 1 species
GAUGAACGCUGGCGGCAUGCCUAACACAUGCAAGUCGAUCGGUAAGGCUCUUCGGAGUACACGAGAGGCGGACGGUUGAGUAACGCGUAGGAACACACCCUGCAGUGAGGGAUAAGACACCGAAAGGUGUUCUAAUACCGCAUACGGUCUUCGGAUUAAAGCAUUUAUGCGCUGAAGGAGUGGCCUGCGUCAUAUUAGAUAGUUGGUGAGGUAAUGGCUCACCAAGUCGAUGAUGUGUAGCUGGUCUGAGAGGAUGAUCAGCCAGAUUGGAACUGAGACACGGUCCAGACUCCUACGGGAGGCAGCAGUGAGGAAUAUUUCACAAUGAGCGAAAGCUUGAUGGAGCAAUGCCGCGUGCAGGAUGAAGGCCCUCGGGUUGUAAACUGCUUUUAUAAGAGAAGAUUAUGACGGUAACUUAUGAAUAAGGGACGGCUAACUACGUG